CCUACGGGAGGCAGCAGUAGGGAAUCUUCCGCAAUGGGCGAAAGCCUGACGGAGCAACGCCGCGUGAGUGAUGAAGGUCUUCGGGAUCGUAAAACUCUGUUAUUAGGGAAGAACAACGUGUAAGUAACUGUGCACGUCUUGACGGUACCUAAUCAGAAAGCCACGGCUAACUACGUGCCAGCAG
rnacentral:rRNA from 1 species